rnacentral:rRNA from 1 species
AACGAACGUUGGCGGCGUGGAUUAGGCAUGCAAGUCGCACGAAUCUCAGACUGGUAGCAAUACCGGGCUGGGGAAAGUGGCGAAAGGGGCAGUAAGGCGUGGGUAACUUGCCCCGGAGUUCGGAAUAGCCGUUCUAACGAACGGGUAAUCCCGAAUGCCGUGCCGAGGGGGCCUCCCCUUGGCACGAAAGUUACGGCGCUCCGGGAGGGGCCCACGUAGUAUUAGCUUGUUGGUGAGGUAACGGCUCACCAAGGCCAAGANGCUUAGCAGGUGUGAGAGCACGACCUGCGCCACUGGCACUGGGACACUGGCCAGACUCCUACGGGAGGCUGCAGUCGAGGAUCUUCGGCAAUGGGCGCAAGCCUGACCGAGCGACGCCGCGUGGGCGAUGAAGGCCUGG